UCCCGUACUUAGCCUCACGUGACUCUACCGGAUUGUAGUCACCACACUGGUGUUGUGUGACAAUUGUCUGUAGUGCAGUGUGUGCUGUAUUAAAAGAGGAAUAGAAACUAAGGGAAGUGAAUUUGUCACGUGACAAGCUUAGAAAUAUGUGUCACUUCAUCCACAGCUCUGACCCGCAGACGGCGAGAUGGAUUCUGUCAAGUGGCCGAUGCUUUUCGUGUGCCUUUGCUUUAGAGUUACUCAAACUGUAGAUCCAUCUUGGAAAGUUAAGGUGCCAUCCUCAGUUAAAGGUCUCCCCGGAUCCUGUGUGUUCAUCCCCUGCUCGUUCAACUACCCAGAUA